UCCGUGUUAACCACGGCAGUCUCUUUAGAGUGCCCAACUGAAUGCUGGCAACUAAAGACAAGGGUUGCGCUCGUUGCGGGACUUAACCCAACAUGUCACCACACGAGCUGACGACAGCCAUGCAGCACCUGUCAUCUGGUCGUAUUGCUACGAAGUACGUGUCUCCACGUAGGUCCAGAGAUGUCAAACCCAGGUAAGGUUUUUCGCGUUGCUUCGAAUUAAACCACAUGAUCCACCGCUUGUGCGGGCCCCCGUCAAUUCCUUUGAGUUUUAGUCUUGCGACCGUACUUCCCAGGCGGGGUACUUAGUGCGUUAGCUCCGGCUCGGCAGGGGUCAAGACCCGCCAAGCCUAGUACCCAUCGUUUACAGCGUGGACUAC
rnacentral:misc_RNA from 1 species